UACGGGGGGGGCAAGCGUUGUCCGGAAUCACUGGGCGUAAAGGGCGCGUAGGUGGCGACCCAAGUCCGUGGUGAAAGCUCGUCGCUCAACGACGAGUCGGCCACGGAGACUGGGUGGCUCGAGCACUGUAGGGGCAGAUGGAAUUCCGGGUGUAGCGGUGGAGUGCGUAGAGAUCCGGAAGAACACCGGUGGCGAAGGCGGUCUGCUGGGCAGUAGCUGACACUGAGGCGCGACAGCGUGGGGAGCAAACAGG
rnacentral:rRNA from 1 species